rnacentral:rRNA from 1 species
UACGGAGGGUGCGAGCGUUGAUCGGAAUGACUGGGCGUAAAGGGCAUGUAGGCGGAUAAUUAAGUUAGGUGUGAAAGCCCUGGGCUCAACCUAGGAACUGCACUUGAAACUGGUUAACUAGAGUAUGGUAGAGGAAGGUAGAAUUCCACGUGUAGCGGUGAAAUGCGUAGAGAUGUGGAGGAAUACCGGUGGCGAAGGCGGCCUUCUGGACAGAUACUGACGCUGAGAUGCGAAAGCGUGGGGAGCAAACAGG